rnacentral:rRNA from 1 species
AGAGUUUGAUCCUGGCUCAGGAUGAACGCUGGCGGCGUGCCUAACACAUGCAAGUCGAGCGAUUCUCUUCGGAGAAGAGCGGCGGACGGGUGAGUAAACGCGUGGGUAAACCUGCCCUGUACACACGGAUAACAUACCGAAAGGUAUGCUAAUACGAGAUAAUAUACUUUUAUCGCAUGGUAGAAGUAUCAAAAGCUCCGGCGGUACAGGAUGGACCCGCGUCUGAUUAGCUAGUUGGUAAGGUAACGGCUUACCAAGGCGACGAUCAGUAGCCGACCUGAGAGGGUGAUCGGCCACAUUGGAACUGAGACACGGUCCAAACUCCUACGGGAGGCAGCAGUGGGGAAUAUUGCACAAUGGGCGAAAGCCUGAUGCAGCAACGCCGCGUGAGCGAUGAAGGCCUUCGGGUCGUAAAGCUCUGUCCUCAAGGAAGAUAAUGACGGUACUUGAGGAGGAAGCCCGGCUAACUACGUG